AGCCCGGCCCUUUAAGUCCAUUAACGACCUAAAUCCACUUAAAUGGCCGCGGCCGUUUGAUACCUCGACAUGGAAACACAGAUUUAAUCUCAAGGAUAAAGCUUUGGUCAAGGCGAAUUUUAUGGCUCUUGGCACAAAUGCAACGGUGGCCUGAGUUGAUGUUGAGGGGUCAAAGGUCGAGGAAGCAACGACUGCAGACCACAAAGUAGCUAACGAUAACAGACAUGAGCCUGGGUUGAGGGCUGGUGUGUGAAAACAGCUGGGUCACCUUCACUCCCACGUCGUUAUACUCUGCAAAAAUACUUCUCAUCGUUAUUCAAAGCUCCGGGAAAAAAGGAGGGAAAAAAAUUCAGUGCAAACAAACAGUAGCCAAAUUGACGGCUAAAUGUCAAGGACACCAACCUCCCCGAACAAUCUUCGGCCAUAAUUCACCACAGACUUUGUGGAUUAUAGGUCUUUUUUUUCUGACAAAUUCCUCCAACAUUAGUGUCCGACGUCCUGCCCAGGGGCCCUCUGUGACACUUGAAGAGCUUUUAUGUGGCCCAGAACUUAAAUAUGGAUUUUUAUAGCCCGUCGGGUCGAUCAAACCCGAGAAAGAAGUCUCAAAAGUUCAAGUUGUAAUUAGCGCUCUCUGGAGGCGUGCGGCAGCCAAUCAGGUGAUUCCUGUUUGACCAGUGAUGCCGUGAGAACUGGAUCUUUAAACCAGUGACGCCAAACUGAGGUGUAGUUGUUUUAAAUGAUCUCCUCCUGUUAACGGCCUUAGGUGUGUGGGGAUGUGUGUGGGUUUUUUUUAUACAGUACUAUGUACAGGCCCCGCCCCCUAUUUAGGUUCAAUGGACAUACAUUUUUAUUUUUACAAUACUCAUUCUAACGACCAUUUAAACUGAGGAAUGUGCCUUAAAAAAAAUCAAGUGCUCCUUUAUUAGGAAACAUAUGGGUUGAUUUUUCUAUUGACUAUAUUCUGUACAACCAGGUGCUGAACUCUACUGUACACGACAUAGAGUAUUUGUUUAUGUCACGUACCCUAAUGUACGACUAUAAUUAAUCUGGUGAAGUUGAUUCAUUGGUCUAUUCUACCGUGUUUUCACCAGAUCUAAUGAACAGCUUUUGCUUCGUGCAAUAAAACAUAACGUUGUUACAAAUAUCUGUCAUGUUCACUGUGUUUCCAGACUCUUCUGCAGCUAAACGCCUCCUCAGGCUGAAAACCACAGGUGGUUGUUCAUUCAUGUCAGAGACGACAGUUCAGUCUAAUGGGCCAACACAUGCAAUCACACGCACACACACACACACUGCCUGGAAUGUGAUUUUAAUACAUUUAGCUCCAAAAAGUGAAUACAUUACACUGUUCCUUCAAUAAUGUGCAUAUUAUUAUUCAUAGGGGUUCAUGGGGUUUUCUUUCCCUCUUUUUUUUAUUUAAAAAAACAAUCCUGGCUGUUUAGUUCAGUUUGUUUGUCUCCAGGUUAUUUUAACAUAAUGUUUGCGUGUAUGUUUUUGUCCAAUCUUCCUGCUUUUAAAUUAUUUUUUAUUUGUUUUGAAUAUAUUUUUUCCUUUAGGUUUUUAACUGUUUUGCUUUUAUUUUCCUGGCCUACACUCCUUCACUGUGACCCAGAUUUAAGAUAUCUCUUAGAGGCAGUAAGUCUUGGAGAAGAGGAGAAGAAAAAGGAGAAGGAGAAGGAGAAGACACACAGCACACAACAAAAUGUGACCUCUGACCUAUCACUGUAGUCAGCAGGGGGCAGCUCAGGCACCUGGGGAGGAGAGUGUGGGGGCGGUGCCUUGCUCAGAACAUAAUCACGUGGCACCUGGUGGACCUGAACCUGAAACUUUCCAGAGUCAAGUGCAGCUGCUUAACCACCACAACUGCCCCGAGGAGGAGGAGGAGGAGAAGAAGAAGAAAAAGAAGAAGAAGAAGAAGAAGAAGAAGAAGAAGAAUGAGACAGAAUUCAGGACCAGAAAAUCCUUUGCAGUACAAACAAAAAGAGAGAAUAUACCUGAAAGUGGACACUUCACUGGGUCUGUACCCAGACCUGGACACUUCACUGGGUCUGUACCCAGACCUGGACGUUGAAUUAAGAGUCCUUGGAUAACACGCCUGCUGUGGACCAGAAUCAUGUGGUUCUUGCUGAUCUGGAUCUGAAAUGGACCUCGCCCCUCAUGCUGUAAAUAUUCUGCAGACUUGUCUUUUUGCUUCAUAUUAUUAUAUUAUAUUAUAUUCAUAACUGCGUUGCUCUGUGGCCCCAGAAGUGAACGGUCAAAUCUUUUAGAAAUGACUGGCCAGAGGUUUUUGUUGUUUUUCUGAGUAGUUUUAAUGAUGUUGUUUUAUUUUGGGGUUUUUUCUUUUUCUUGGAGAACUGUGAAACUUGGUGAAUGUAGUCCUGGUGAUUUGUUCUGAUGUGGCAUGACUUUGUUGGAUGGUUUCCAGAGUGGGUUUUUUAUGGGAAAACGAGGUUUUACACUGUGUAAUUAGUGCAGAAUUUUUUUAUCCGUGGAGAAAAUGAUUCUAAGAGCAGAUACGAAUGAAAUCAUCAGAGGUUCUAAGAGCUUUAUUAAAAAUGUAGCCACUGUGUAUGAUAUUUUCUAAAGAAAAAAAAACAAUUAACCAGAAGAUUUAAUUUACCACUAGGUGCUGCUAAAUCCAUCAGUGUGAAUUAAAUGAUGUCCACAGGGUAAGAAUUAUGUUUUUUAACAUCAUUUCUGUAAGACUGCAAAAUUAUGCAGCACCCAAUCAAAGAAAAUGUCGCAAAAAGUUAUUUUCUGGCUCUAUAAAGUUUUGUGUAUAAUGAAGUAAAAGUAUUAGUACUGCAAAAGUGGCGAACCGCUUAUUUCUUCUGGAAAUAAACAAAAUAAAAAAAUACAAAUAAAAUAUCGACUCUUGCACGGCAGAAUAAAAAUCUCUACGCUUUUUCAGCAGAAGUCAGCACAAAUGCCACCUGCUGCACGUUCCAGGUAUCUACGCUUUUUUUUUUUUUUUUUUUCUUUAACUCAGUUCUAGUUUUGACGAGUAACAAACUCUGGUGGCGUUCCUCCCUACUGUAUUUUUAGCAACACGGGAAACACAAACACACUGUCGACACUUUUUUGCAGGCUCAGUGGAAUUUGUUAGCGUUCCACUCUGCCCACCGAGUCCCACAGACCCUCCCCUGAUUCCCUCCCCCACUCUGCAGUCACAGCAGCAGAAAACGCAGCUUGUAACGUGUGACAGCUAUUGACAGCGACCGUGUACGACUUCACUGAGUCCAGCCAAGCACGGCACCAGUCAACCUCCGAUUCACCUCCCUGCC